rnacentral:sRNA from 1 species
ACUGGCGGCCAUGGAACUCACCGGUAAUAGAGGACACAUCUCUUAACUGGGUUGCUCUAAGAACUGAUGUCUAAACCGUCUCAGCAUGGCCUGUAGAGGAGGAGCUGGGAAUGGCCACCGUGCCUCAGCUACACUCUCUCGGGGAUCGAUUUGCUUAGUGGUAUAAUACCUGAACUCUGUCAGAAAUAUCCAGAUUUAAAUUUCAUAAUUGGAGGAGAGGGACCAAAGAGAAUCAUUUUGGAAGAAGUUCGGGAAAGAUACCAGCUGCAUGACAGGUAUUGAUGAAUUUCAUGUUGUCUUGAGGGAGAAGAUGUCAAUUAUCUCUAUUUGGUUUUAACUGCAUGCGUACCUUAGAUGUGUUGCUUCUCCUGCAUGUAAUUGAUAUACAUAUAAUUGAUAUAAAUCUAAUGCAAGGACUGUUUUCAAAAUUUUUAUAUAAAUAGGAAACCUAGUUAAUUCACAAUUUUAUUUUUUCCAUUAGCCCAAUAUUAUUUGACUUUGGGGGGCCAUUGUUGGAGGCACCAUGAAAGGCACAAAAAACAGCUGCUUUAACUGGAAGCGUUUGCAGAUUUCCAGGCCAUACUGUG